AGUAACAUUUAGGAAUCUGCCUAGUAGUGGGGGAUAGCUCGGGGAAACUCGAAUUAAUACCGCAUACGACCUACGGGUGAAAGGGGGCGCAAGCUCUUGCUAUUAGAUGAGCCUAAAUCAGAUUAGCUAGUUGGUGGGGUAAAGGCCCACCAAGGCGACGAUCUGUAACUGGUCUGAGAGGAUGAUCAGUCACACCGGAACUGAGACACGGUCCGGACUCCUACGGGAGGCAGCAGUGGGGAAUAUUGGACAAUGGGGGCAACCCUGAUCCAGCCAUGCCGCGUGUGUGAAGAAGGCCUUUUGGUUGUAAAGCACUUUAAGCAGGGAGGAGAGGCUAAUGGUUAAUACCCAUUAGAUUAGACGUUACCUGCAGAAUAAGCACCGGCUAACUCUGUGCCAGCAGCCGCGGUAAUACAGAGGGUGCGAGCGUUAAUCGGAAUUACUGGGCGUAAAGCGAGUGUAGGUGGCUCAUUAAGUCACAUGUGAAAUCCCCGGGCUUAACCUGGGAACUGCAUGUGAUACUGGUGGUGCUAGAAUAUGUGAGAGGGAAGUAGAAUUCCAGGUGUAGCGGUGAAAUGCGUAGAGAUC
rnacentral:rRNA from 1 species